CAAUCAGCGGGAUGGUCCUGUCGUCCCGGUGGAUCUCCAGCCGGCCGGGGACCAGCUUCUGCCCGUGGCCCCUGCCGCGAGCCUGCGACGCGGACGACGACGGCGUCGACGCGGGCUUGCUGUCCUGCCACAGAUGGAGCCAAAUUACUACAAUGAAUCUGAAUUUUAAAAUAAUAAUGAAAAAGCAACCAUUGAGCUGUGGAAAAUGCCUGGGUGGACCUAGCCCCGCCUUCAAGGAUGAAGCUCCUCCUCUGAGCUGCAGUUUACAAGCUUCCGCCACUCGGCUCCUUCAGACUAGCCGGCAGCAAUCAGCAAAUGCCUGGUGGCGCAUCUGCAGAGCUCAUUGUAGGAGCUGCUUCUCAGGUCAGCGCUGGUGGAAACGUUGUUGAAGACGUUGUGGCGACUUCCUGAGGGCAGGCUUUCAGAAAAAGGAGUUUCUUGAAGCGUCAGAGAACGGUGGUGAUAUAUUUCAACAAGCCAUGUUUUAUGUCUUUACAAUCACAAAUCAGUGGCGACCCCAAGAGGAGGGCCCGGGGGGGCCGUGGCCCAUUCCUAAAAUAUGUUGGCCACCGCCCUGGACUUCCAUAAGGGCAUAAAAAGGUAAACUAUUCAUCUUCAAUCAAGACAUAAAAAUAAAAGUGUAUACAGCUCUGGAAAAAGUGAAGAGCCUACUGCACCAUUGAAAAUCUCCUGGUUAUUCCAUCAAAUAUUGAUUCCUGAACUCUUCCCGAGUUAAAACAUCAGUAUUGUGGUUUCUAAAUGAAUAUGAACUUGUUUCCUUUGCAUUAUUUGAGGUCUGGAAGCUCUGCAUCCGUUUCUUUAUUUUGACCAUUUCUCACUUUCUGCAAAUAAAUACUACACUUUUGUUUGGAAUGUCGGAGACAUGUUGUCAGUAUUUCAUAGAAUAAAAGAACAAUGUUCAUUUUUCUCGAAAGCAGUGCAUGAAUAUAUAGCAGAUGGGAAAAGAAAAUUCACGAUUGUAAGUAGAAAUCUGAUUGGAUUUGGCGUUGCAGCUCCUCCAGAGUUGCCAUGGAUCUCUUGGUUGCUUCUCCAAUUAAAUCCCAAUGAAAUACUUUGACAUUUUAUUCUGCAGCGUGACAAAUAGAGAAAGGCUUAAGGGGUGGGAACCGGUUCGCAGUGCGCUGCCCUCUGUUCCUCACGAGCAUGUUCUUGUCAUUGUUCAUUUAAUCAUAGGCAUGAAAAUAACCUUUGUAGAUAAAAAAAAAAAACAUUAAAAAAAAAAGUCUAGCAGGCUUCAGGCACCUUUUAUCUCCGUAGCUCGGAGGUGAAUCUCACUGCGCCGACGAUGAGAACAUCUAUUCUCGGUCCUGUCACAGAGAGACCGUCAGCUGACGAGAUCUGCCCCGAAUCCGUCU